rnacentral:rRNA from 1 species
UACGAAGGGAGCUAGCGUUGUUCGGAAUCACUGGGCGUAAAGCGCACGUAGGCGGAUGUGUCAGUCAGGGGGUGAAAUCCCGGAGCUCAACUUCGGAACUGCCCUUGAUACAGCACGUCUUGAGUCCGGAAGAGGUGGGUGGAAUUCCUGGUGUAGCGGUGAAAUGCGCAGAAUAUCGGGAGGAACACCGGUGGCGAAGGCGGUUCUCUGGGGCCGAAACUGACGCUGAGGAGCGAAAGCGUGGGGAGCAAACAGG